UUUCCCUCAGGAUAGCUGGCACUCGCUUGAGCGAGUCUCAUCUGGUAAAGCGAAUGAUUAGAGGCCUUGGGGCCGAAACGACCUCAACCUAUUCUCAAACUUUAAAUGGGUGAGAUCUCUGGCUUGCUUGAACGUUGAAGCCACGAGAUAAAUUUUUUUUUUGCAAUGGAUCAGAGUGCCAAGUGGGCCAAUUUUGGUAAGCAGAACUGGCGCUGUGGGA
rnacentral:rRNA from 1 species